rnacentral:lncRNA from 1 species
AAAAAACUUAAAAGAGAAAGAAACUAAAUAUAUAAUGAGAAUUUGUGUUAUAUGUGUUUAAGGAUCCAAGUAGAAUGUCGCAAAUUUAACCAUGAUGGUUGGGAGAAAGAAAAAUUUCUCCAAGAGGUGUCUGAUGCCUAGUGAGCACUACUCAGUAAAGACAUUCUUUUUUAACAAUAGACGAGUCCAUACCAUUCUUCUUUCCUUCACCUUAUUUCCCUUCGUAUUCAGUAACUCAUCUAUCCAUUGUCCAAGGAAUGUGCUGUACUUUCAUUGUCACAGUAAUUUCCCCUGUAUCGCUACGUUCUUUUCCCUUUUAGAGUAAUUUCCUUGCCAUCAACAUUUGUUGAGCACCUGCUGUGAACAAAGGCAUCAUCCAAAGUGUUAGGAAGUCGCCUUUGCUUAAGGUACAUUCUUAUUUAUUUAUUUAAUCUAAUUGAAGCCCUUUUCUUCUUAGGUGAUUUAAAUUUUUUUCAUUUUUUUUCCUGAUUGCAAAAGUGAAACAUUCAUAUCAUAAAAACAUUGAAUGUUGCAGAAAUACUUAAUGGACAAUGUGAAAGAGCUUCCUGGGGCUCCAUUUCACCAAAAGUUGUGACUAAUUAGGAAACUGCCUUGCAUGUGAAUCUAUAGUUGCAGAACCAAGGAAACUGAGGAUCUGUGGAGAUGGAGGAAUUGCCUGUAAGGAGGGAAAACUGCAUAUUAUUUAGGAUUUUGGAGAGGAUGGACACUCACAGUGCCCUAGUGAUUGAAGGGUCAAUUGAACUUUGUACAGUAUUGUACAUCUGAUGAUCUUAAAAUCUUCAGCAGAGUCACACAAGUCUUAGGAACUUGAAUGUGAUUGUAUUCCUGGUAGAGGCUGAUGACAGAGCUUACUUUUGUGUCAGAGAUGGGACAGCAAUGCCAAUAAGCUACUUUAUGUGGAUAAGAGGGUACUAGCAGGUCUAUGCAUCACAAAUGCUUCUUCCCUGGGCUGUUUCGUGAGUGGCUUUAACAAUCUAGUACAUUUACUCAUGUCUCGGGAAUAUGCCUCCCAACAUAUCCCAUCCAAGUGGUUGUUUAAUGUAUCUUUAAGCAUUGGAGCAUGUAGCAGAUUAUCUUGUGUCUGUUAACAUGGCUUUAAUUGAUAUUUUUCAUAAAAGCUCAUUCUAUCUAACUAAAUUACAUUGAUGGUAUUGCGUCACCUUUUUAUUUUUCCUUUAAGAAAUUUUUCUGUCUAUCUUUCUUUCUUUCUAGUGGCCCUACCCAUGUCAUAUGGAGCUUCCUUGGCCAGGGUCUGAAUCUGAACUGCAGCUGCAACCUAUGCCACUGAACUGCAGCUGCAACCUAUGCCACUGCUGCAACCUAUGCCACUGCUGCAACCUAAGCAAUGCCAGAUCUUUUAACCCACUUCCCUAAGCCAGGUAUUGAACCUACUGGUCAGAGCCACUGUGCCACAGCAGGAACUCCUUAAACAACUUUUUUAAAGAACUUUUUCUUUGGAGGAGGGCACACUUGCAGCACAUGGCAGUUCCUGGACUAGAGACUGAAUCAGAUCUGCAGCUGCCGACCUAUGCUGCAACAACAGCAAUGAAGGAUCAGAGACUCAUCUGUGAUCUAUCUCAUAGCUCACAGCAAAGCCAGAUCUUUAACCCACUGAGAGAGGCAAGGGAUUGAACCCACAUCCUCAUGAAUACUAGUAAGGUUCAUAAACCACCUAAGCUACAAUGGGAACUCCCAGGAGCUUUUUAAUUGAGCUUACUGGAGAGCAUUCUAGAAUAUAUACGUAUAUGUUAGUGAUUUAUUUUUGUAGAUGCCAAAAUUAGGAAGGAAGCACUUGUGGUUGGUUUAAUAUUCAGGAGUAUCAUAGGGUACUCUCUACACUUUCAGUGAAAUAUAGUAUAUCCUUGGCAGAUAAACUAUAUAAAAUCACCAAAAAAGAAGUAUUCUGUCUGUCUUUCUACUUGAAAACAUGCAUGAACAAGAUUGAUGACAUCAAUGUGAAAUAUGAAAUGAAAUAAAUUCUGUGUGUAAUUUGUAGGUGCUUAUGUAGCCUAGAAAAAUAAUUAGGUCUGUUUGACUAUUGAGAAGAGGUAGAAUGACUGUCCUAUUGGGUACAGAGCCUCUGCUCCUGUUUUUGCAUCUAUAGGAGCACCUACUGUGGACUUUGUAGAGGGAUCCAAGAUACAAAGAUGAAAGCAUUACCAUCUGGCUCAGGAAAGAAGGUUCAAUGAUGAUGUUAGUGUAAAGUUCAAGGGAGGAUGUGCAGUUUGAUUCAAUAGAAAUUAGUGAUAUAAAAUGACAGCUUUAGACUAUGGAUGAUAAUCAGAUGUUUUGUCACUAGUAAGAAAACCUUGGAAAAUUUGUUUGCAUUUUUUUGGGGGGGUGUCAUCAUCCAUCAUUCCAUUUAGCUCUCCUUGUGGGAGAAGAAAGAAUAUCUAGAUAUCAAAUGUACUAAUCACUUUAUAAGAGUAAAGUGCUAAUGAACUUAAUAAUUCAUACUAAGUUUUGAGAGGUUGGAAGCAAUAUUUAAAAGUGAAAUAAUGUAGUGCUUAGUGACAAAACUAUUCCAUUUUUUACAUCGGUGUAUGUCUUUGCACACUGCAAACCUUUUAAUUGAACUAGACUUUUUCCAGAUUACCUGGACCAAUUGCUAGUGCUCCUUUAAAACUAGCCUGGUAUCUUAUUCUCAAUAAAUCAUUCCAGAAGCCCUGGACAAAAUGUAACCCCUCAAAAUAUUACAAACUUCUGUUAUUAUGUGUAUUUACAAAAUAUAUUAUUACUUCCAUUCACUGGCCAAUGUAUCUUUCCAAAUCAUGUGGUCCUUGAGGGUUAAAAUUAUAUUUAUCAUUGUUUUAAAACAAAUCUAAAAAAUAAGAAUAAUCUAGAAUCAGUCCUAGUAAAAUAUAAGAAUCAGUUCUUAUUAAUAUUUUGUAAUGAAUUGGAAGGUAACUCUUAGAAUAAUAAAAGUUUUAAUAUAUUCUGUUGUGAAGGAAAUAGCAUGGAAUGAUUCAAAGUUUAAAAUAUUUGGUUUCAAAUCCUGACUCUGCCAUUGACUGCUAAUUAUUGUAUCUUGAGCAAUCUCUUAGUCUCAUGAAAUGUUAGUCUCCUGAGGUAAAAUAGAUAUAAUAACAUUUCUGUCCUGCAUGUCUUACAUGGAGUUUAUGAUAAUAGAAUAGAUAAUGGGUGAAAAUAAAGUUGUAUACUCAGUACCUAUACAGCUAAAGUGAUUUUCUGUAUUAAAAGCUUAUUUAAAAUCCACUGAUAGGAGUUGCCGUUGUGGUGCAGCAGAAACGAAUCUAACUGGUAACCAUGAGGUUGCGGGUUUGUUCCCUGGCCUUGCUCGGUGGGUUAAGAAUCAGGCAUUGCUGUGAGCUGUAGUGUAGGUUGCAGAUGUUGCUCUAACCCUGCAUUGCUGUGGCUGUGGUAUAGGCCAGCAGCUGUAGCUCUGAUUCAACCCCUACCCUAGGAACCUCUGUAUGCCAUGGGUG